GGGUCACAGCUGCGGGCUGCAGGAGACAUUGCUCCAACAGUGCAGUCAGUACUGUGCAUUCUGCCUUGUUUCUGGGGAGGCUGCCGAGCACUGAGGAGCUCUCAUCUGCAGAAGAGCAGGGGCCUUAAAACUUUGGUGUUGUGGAGAAGUGGGGAUGUUGGUGUUGGAGGAGUCUGCUGGCAUAUCUGUAUAUCUCUUUCCAGGAAUGAAGAGGCCAAAGAUCACUCCACAGAAUUUCUUCAUCCCACAGGAUCCAUUUCUUUACGAGCAAUGUGUAUCUCAAAAAAUAAAGCUGAGAAUGAUCUUGCCUGUCAUACUGAACUGCACAUGAUGGUGAUUUCCGAGCAAGAAGAUACAAACAUAACAGGUAGGAGGGGCCGCUCUGGGACAAGCUAUUUCUGUUGCCAGAACAAUUAUUGAUUCAGUCCUUGAGUGCUCUCAAGUUACGGUAGAGGAAAAAUGUAACUGGGAGUACCUUGUAGCAAUUGUCCUGGUGGUGACAGACUGGUACCUGCUGAUGUCCUUCCUGAGCGCACAAGGAGAGAGCUGUAUGUAGGGCAUACUGGGGAGGGUGAAGUGAACAGGCUGGGCUUUGCAGUGUGAUGAUGCACACUCCUGCCCCAGUGGAGAACAGGCAGAGCUGGACACUGAUCAGCAGCAACUGAGAAAAGGCUCAGGGCUGGCAUAAGAUGGCCUUUGAGGAGCAACUGAAU
rnacentral:lncRNA from 1 species